rnacentral:rRNA from 1 species
GGUCAGGAUGAACGCUAGCGGCAGGCUUAACACAUGCAAGUCGAGGGGCAACGCGAGUAGCAAUACUUGGCGGCGACCGGCGCAAGGGUGCGUAACGCGUGAGCAACAUGCCCGUAUCAGGGGGAUAAUCCAGGGAAACUUGGUCUAAUACCCCAUAGUAAUUUUGUAAGGCAUCUUAUAAGAUUUAAAGCUUUGGUGGAUACGGAUUGGCUCGCGUGACAUUAGCUGGAUGGUAAGGUAACGGCUUACCAUGGCUAUGAUGUCUAGGGGUUCUGAGAGGAAGGUCCCCCACACUGGAACUGAGACACGGUCCAGACUCCUACGGGAGGCAGCAGUGAGGAAUAUUGGACAAUGGAUGGAAAUCUGAUCCAGCCAUGCCGCGUGAAGGAAGAAGGUCCUAUGGAUUGUAAACUUCUUUUGUAUGGGAGCAAUAAGGCCUACGAGUAGGCUGAUGAGAGUACCAUACGAAUAAGCACCGGCUAACUCCGUGCCAGCCGCCGC